rfam:Lupinus angustifolius cultivar Tanjil chromosome LG03, whole genome shotgun sequence.
AAACCAUGGUUGGGGCAUUUUCUUAGCAUGGAUUUGAAUCUGUCCCAUGCUUCGUAGAGACUUUCCCCCGUAGGUUGGAUGAAAGUGGAGAUAGCAGUUUUUAAGUCC